rnacentral:rRNA from 1 species
UGGGGAAUAUUGCACAAUGGGCGCAAGCCUGAUGCAGCCAUGCCGCGUGUAUGAAGAAGGCCUUCGGGUUGUAAAGUACUUUCAGCGGGGAGGAAGGGAGUAAAGUUAAUACCUUUGCUCAUUGACGUUACCCGCAGAAGAAGCACCGGCUAACUCCGUGCCAGCAGCCGCGGUAAUACGGAGGGUGCAAGCGUUAAUCGGAAUUACUGGGCGUAAAGCGCACGCAGGCGGUUUGUUAAGUCAGAUGUGAAAUCCCCGGGCUCAACCUGGGAACUGCAUCUGAUACUGGCAAGCUUGAGUCUCGUAGAGGUGGGUAGAAUUCCAGGUGUAGCAGUGAAAUGCGUAGAGAUCUGGAGGAAUACCGGUGGCGAAGGCGGCCCCCUGGACGAAGACUGACGCUCAGGUGCGAAAGCGUGGGGAGCAAACAGG